GCUACACCAAGUGUUAAAUUUGAGUGUCAAAGCUCUCUUGUACUAAUGGGGGAGCAUACAACACCACAUCCAACGCCACCCUUGGAUCUUCCACACUCAUUCUCUACUCAGAUUAGAAGUCACCACAAUUACAGGUGGACUCUGUCAGACCCCUAGGUGUAUUAGGACAGAAGAGAACUUUGCCUCAUCCCACAGCCCUUGAGCAUACACUGGACUGCUGCUUUGAUUUCUAAUGAAAAGGCUUUCCUUUGAUUUGUAGGAUGAGUUGAUGUCUUGUUUCUCUCUUCAGGUGUAUGUAUUACCUGAACACACAGAGCAGCUGUUUCCAUGCUUGGAUCAGUCAGAGAUUAUGCAGCCACAACUAUGCCUUAGAUGUGUGUAAUUCAAGUGGAGAAAACACACAAGCCCAUGGUGGCGAUACCAACACUUGAGUGUUCUGUAAACGAUUUAUCAGAGGUUGCAGCUGAACACGGCCAUGAGGUAAACCCUGCCCCUGGUUGACAUUUAGUUUCAUCAGCUUCUACUUGGGAUUUUAAGGACUUGGGAUAUAUCACAAAACCCAGCAGGUCCCCCCUCCCCCUUUUAAGAUUUAUUUUUUCUUCCUGAAGAUUCCAUGCUUAAAGUUCUUUAUGGUUAGUAACUGUGAUGCUUGAAGUUGGUUAUCCCUUAUUCUAGUAAAUCUUAAAUGUCAAAGAUAUAGAUAUCUUGUUAAAUAAAGAAAAGAAUCAAAAUC